GGUGAGUAACGCGUAAGAACCUGCCCUUGGGAGGGGAACAACAACUGGAAACGGUUGCUAAUACCCCGCAGGCUGAGGAGCAAAAGGAGAAAUCCGCCCAAGGAGGGGCUCGCGUCUGAUUAGCUAGUUGGUGAGGCAAUAGCUUACCAAGGCGAUGAUCAGUAGCUGGUCCGAGAGGAUGAUCAGCCACACUGGGACUGAGACACGGCCCAGACUCCUACGGGAGGCAGCAGUGGGGAAUUUUCCGCAAUGGGCGAAAGCCUGACGGAGCAAUGCCGCGUGGAGGUGGAAGGCCUACGGGUCGUCAACUUCUUUUCUCGGAGAAGAAACAAUGACGGUAUCUGAGGAAUAAGCAUCGGCUAACUCUGUGCCAGCAGCCGCGGUAAU
rnacentral:rRNA from 1 species